rnacentral:rRNA from 1 species
UAGGGAAUCUUGCGCAAUGCGCGAAAGCGUGACGCAGCAACGCCGCGUGGAGGAAGACGGUCUUCGGAUUGUAAACUCCUUUCAGUUGGGACGAAGCUUCGGUGUUGAAUAGACAUUCGGAGUGACGGUACCUUCAGAAGAAGCCCCGGCUAACUACGUG